rnacentral:rRNA from 1 species
UACACGCUGUGACUAGCAUAUCAAUAAGCGGAGGAAAAGAAACUAACAGGAUUCCCCUAGUAACGGCGAGUGAAGCGGGAAGAGCUCAAAUUUGAAAUCUUAAAGGGUUUCCCUUUACGAAUUGUAGUUUAAAGAAGUGUUUUCUGUUGAGGUUUUGGUAAAAGUUCUUUGGAAUAGGACAUCAUAGAGGGUGAGAAUCCCGUAUUUGACCUUUACUUUCAACUUUGUGAUACACUUUCAAAGAGUCGGAUUGUUUGGGAAUGCAGUCCAAAAUGGGUGGUAAAUUUCAUCUAAAGCUAAAUAUUGGCGAGAGACCGAUAGCGAACAAGUACCGUGAGGGAAAGAUGAAAAGAACUUUGAAAAGAGAGUUAAACAGUACGUGAAAUUGUCAAAAGGGAAGCGUUUGACACCAGUGUUGUUUUUCUGAAAAUCAAUUAAAGAACUGUUUAUGCUAAGCUGUUUAGACUUUAUCAGCUAUCUGUUUAGUUUUGAGCUUUUCUUUAAUGCACUUUUCAGUUAACAAGUCAACAUCAAUUUCUUUUGCUGUAAAAAAGCUUGAGGAAGGUGGCUUGAGAUUCGUCUUAAGUGUUUAUAGCCUCUUGCCUAUGCAGUCGGAGAGAUUGAGGUCUGCAGCGUAGAUCCUUCGGGGCUAAAUGCAUUCGUGCUAAGUUAUAGCAUUUUAUAGACAACUUGUUGACUAUGAUUUGUCUUGUAGCUUACUCGCUUAUGCUAUUUUACCUACGCUUAGGAUGUUGAAGAUGUAGCACAUCAU